CUGGAUGAUGAUCAACCGACACGGAAAGGCAUUCCUCAAUCCGAACACAUGGUGUCGAAUCUUGUCAAUUUAAGUUUCAGCCUUGUCUGACC
rnacentral:snoRNA from 1 species